UGGAGAAGACCCACACCAGCACGAUCAUGAUGGCCGCCCUUUUGGGAGUCCUUUUAGCAGAAUACUCCACCGCAUCAGUGAUGGCCCAGUAGCGGUCCAAGGCGAUGACACAGAGAUGCAUGAUGGAAGCAGUGCAACAGGUGAUAUCCGACGACAGCCAGAAGUCGCAGACCACCUGGCCUAGUGUCCAGCGUCCAGUGACCGUGUACAUGGUGCUGAUGGGCAUCACCAGGAUGGACACGAGCAGGUGAAAUCGUCAGCAAAGCCUCCAGCACUGAACAACCUUUUCCUGUGUAGCCAUAGACCAUAGCCAGUCUCCUCUCCAACAGCCUCACUAUCUCUGAAAGUUGAAUUUCAAAGCAAAACUGCAAAACUUCAAGUAUCAUUUACAAGAAGGAUCUAUGCGAGGCACAAAGCAAAUCUCAAGCAACUGAAACUGACAGUUAAUCAAAAAAGAUGAUUAAGAAAAUAGCUGUAAUCAAAGGAAAUAACUUCUCUAUCAACAAUCAGCAUAGGCCACGACUGCAAGCUCCUGCUGCCUGCACUUCCUUGCCAUGAUGGACUGUACCUUGAAUCCUGUACUAAAAGAAACCUGUUCUUUCAUAAGUUGCUUUCGUCAGAGUAGAAUGCUCACAGCAACAGAAGAGAAA
rnacentral:lncRNA from 1 species